rnacentral:lncRNA from 1 species
CAGGAGAUACUGGGGUCAAGAAAAUCAGCUUUCAAACUACCUUGAGGGAAGUCUAACUGUAUUAUCUGGAGGCUUUUCACCCCUUCCUUUAGCCCCAGUGCCUGUCACUGAACUAUCAAUCCUUUUCUAGCAUUUUACUUAGCUAUGAACUUCUUAGAGUGACAAGAAGGUGAUUCAUAAUAUAUAGUAAGGCUUCCAGGAAGCUUUUUCACUUGAAGCUACAGGGUCAAGAUGGUGGCUUAGAAGCAGCAAAAGUUCAGACCUCUGAAAACCCUUCUUUACUGAUCACAAACUGAAUGCUCCUAGGGGACUAAAAUUCAAACUUAACAACAGGACAGAGCCGGGGAACCCUCCUUCUGGACUCAAAUGAAAAGAAUAAUGAACUGGAGGAAUUCCAUGUGAACUGCAACAACCUCCAGGAAUUGAUGCAGAGUGAAAGCAGCAGAACCAGAAGAACACUGUACACAGAGACUAAUACA